rnacentral:piRNA from 1 species
UGGAACUAGGCCUUGUAGACCAGGCU